AUACGGAGGGGGUUAGCGUUGUUCGGAAUUACUGGGCGUAAAGCGCACGUAGGCGGACUGGAAAGUUGGGGGUGAAAUCCCGGGGCUCAACCCCGGAACUGCCUCCAAAACUUCCAAUCUAGAGAUCGAGAGAGGUGAGUGGAAUUCCAAGUGUAGAGGUGAAAUUCGUAGAUAUUUGGAGGAACACCAGUGGCGAAGGCGGCUCACUGGCUCGAUACUGACGCUGAGGCGCGAAAGCGUGGGGAGCAAACAGGAUUAGAUACCCUAGUAGUCC
rnacentral:rRNA from 1 species